rnacentral:rRNA from 1 species
UGAGGAAUCUUCCGCAAUGGACGAAAGUCUGACGGAGCGACACCGCGUGGAGGAUGAAGGUUUUGUUAUUGUAAACUCCUUUUCUCAGGGACGAUAAUGACGGUACCUGAGGAAUAAGGGACGGCAAACUAUGUGCCAGCAGCCGCGGUAAUACAUAGGUCCCAAGCGUUAUCCGGAAUUACUGGGCGUAAAGCGUCUGCAGGUGGAAAAGUGUGUGAGAUGUGAAAGACCGGGGCUUAACCCCGUGUUUGUAUCUCAAACUGCUUUUCUCGAGUGAGCAAGAGGUAUGCGGAAUUUAUGGAGUAGGAGUGCAAUCCGUUGACACCAUAAAGAACACCAAAAGCGAAGGCAGCAUACUGGGGCUCUACUGACACUCAGAGACGAAAGCGUGGGGAGCGAAAGGGAUUAGAUACCCCGGUAGUCCCUGAGCGGGCUGGCAAGGCGCAU